AAUGAACGUUGGCGGCGUGGAUUAGGCAUGCAAGUCGAGCGAGAACCCCGCAAGGGGGGACAGCGGCAAACGGGGUAGUAAUGUGUCGGGACGUGCCCAGAGGACGGGGAUAGCGGCGGGAAACUGCCGGUAAUACCCGAUGAUCUCGAGAGAGCAAAGGUGUGAUUCCGCCUUUGGAGCGGCCGACAUGGUAUUAGCUAGUUGGCGGGGUAACGGCCCACCAAGGCUGUGAUGCCUAGGGGAUGUGAGAGCAUGAUCCCCACCAUUGGGACUGAGACACUGCCCAGACACCUACGGGUGGCUGCAGUCGAGAAUCUUCGUCAAUGGGCGAAAGCCUGAACGAGCGACGCCGCGUGCGGGAUGAAGGCCUUUGGGUCGUAAACCGCUGUCGAGGGGGAUGAAGGCUUGAAAGUCAUCUUUCAAGUUUGACAGAGCCCUGGAGGAAGCACGGGCUAAGUUCGUGCCAGCCGCCGCAGUAACAC
rnacentral:rRNA from 1 species